rnacentral:rRNA from 1 species
GCUCAGGACGAACGCUGGCGGCGUGCCUAAUACAUGCAAGUCGAGCGAGAACCUUAAUGGUGCUUGCACCGUUAAGGUUAGAGCGGCGGACGGGUGACUAACACGUACGCCACCUACCUAUAAGACUGGGAUAACUCCCGGAAACCGGAGCUGAUACCAAAUAAUUCCUCUUCGCUCAUGAGAAGGAGAUGAAAGGCGGUUAUAUCGGGAGGUAUAGCUGUCACUUACAGAUGGGCCUGCUGCGCAUUAGCUACUUGGAAGGGUAAUGGCCUACCAAGGCAACCAUGCCUAGCCGACCUGAAAGGGUGACCGGCCACCCUGGGACUGACACACGGCCCAAACUCCUACGGGAGGCAGCAAUACGGAAUCUUCCGCAAUGGACGAAAGACUGACGGAUCAACGCCGCGUGACUGAUGAAGGUUUUCGGAUCGUAAAACUCUGUUGUUAGGGAAGAACACGUCCGUCAGUAACUGGAUGCCCACUGACGGUACCUAACGAGAAAGCCCCGGCUAACUACGUGCCAGCAGCCGCGAGUACUACGUAGGGGGCAAGCCGUCUCCGGAAUUAUUGGGCGUAACAGCGCGCGCACGCGGUCUCUUAACUCUGAUGUGAAAGCCCACGGCUCAACCGUGGAGGGGCAUUGGAGACUGGGGGACUUGAGUGUAGGAGAGGAGAGUGGAAUUCCACGUGUAGCGGUGAAAUGCGUAGAUAUGUGGAGGAACACCAGUGGGCGAAGGCGACGUUUCUGGCCUAUAACUGACGCUGAAGCGCGAAAGCGUGGGGAGCAAACAGGAUUAGAUACCCUGGUAGUCCACUGCCGUAAACGAUGAGUGCUAGGUGUUGAGGGGUUUCGAUACCCUUACUGCCGACGUUAACACAUUAAGCACUCCGCCUGUGGAGUACGGCGCGCAAGGCUGAAACUCAAAGGAAUUGACGGGGGCCCGCACAAGCAGUGGAGCAUGUGGUUUAAUUGGAAGCAACGCGAAGAACCUUACCAGGACUUGACAUCCUUUGAAAACUCUAGAGAUAGAGCGUUCCCCUUCGGGGGACAAAGUGACAGGUGGUGCAUGGUUGUAGUCAGCUCGUGUCGUGAGAUGUUGGGUUAAGUCCCGCAACGAGCGCAACCCUUGAUCUUAGUUGCCAGCAUUUAGUUGGGCACUCUAGGGUGACUGCCGGUGAUAAACGGGAUGAAGGUGGGGAUGACGUCAAAUCAUCAUGCCCCUUAUGUCCUGGGCUACACACGUGCUACAAUGGACAGUACAAAGGGAUGCGAAGCCGUGAGGUGGAGCCAAUCCCAGAAAUCUGUUAUCAGUUGGGAUUACAGGGUGCAAGUGUCCUGCACGAAGCCGGAAUUGCUAGUAAUCGCGGAUCAGCAUGCAUCGGUGAAUACGUUCCCGGGCCUUGUCCACACCGCCUGUCACACCACGAGAGUUUGUAACACCUGAAGUCGGUGGGGUAACUUGUUUCCUUCGGGAAAUGAGAGCCAGCGGCCUAAGGUGGGAUAGAUGAUUGGGGUGAAGUCGUAACAAGGUAACC